GUGGUCACUUAAGUAGCACAUAAACUAAAACUGGAAAAAUACAGACUAGAUUAGCAUGGCCACUGAGCAAGGUUGGCAUGCAAAUUCACACAUAUGUGUAUAU